rnacentral:rRNA from 1 species
AUUGAACGCUGGCGGCAUGCCUUACACAUGCAAGUCGAACGGCAGCACGGGAGCAAUCCUGGUGGCGAGUGGCGAACGGGUGAGUAAAGUAUCGGAACGUGCCCAGUCGUGGGGGAUAACGUAGCGAAAGUUACGCUAAUACCGCAUACGAUCUAUGGAUGAAAGCGGGGGAUCGCAAGACCUCGCGCGAUUGGAGCGGCCGAUAUCAGAUUAGGUAGUUGGUGGGGUAAAGGCCCACCAAGCCGACGAUCCGUAGCUGGUCUGAGAGGACGACCAGCCACACUGGGACUGAGACACGACCCAGACUCCUACGGGAGGCAGCAGUGGGGAAUUUUGGACAAUGGGCGAAAGCCUGAUCCAGCUAUGCCGCGUGCAGGAUGAAGGCCUUCGGGUUGUAAACUGCUUUUGUACGGAACGAAAAGGACUGCCCUAAUACGGUGGUCCCAUGACGGUACCGUAAGAAUAAGCACCGGCUAACUACGUGCCAGCCGCCGCCGUAA